CAGCCAAGUAGCGUGAAGGAUGACUGCCCUAUGGGUUGUAAACUUCUUUUAUAAGUGGAAUAAAGUGGAAUAUGUAUACUCUUUUGUAUGUACCUUAUGAAUAAGGAUCGGCUAACUCCGUGCCAGCAGCCGCGGUAAUACGGAGGAUCCGAGCGUUAUCCGGAUUUAUUGGGUUUAAAGGGAGCGUAGGCGGAUGUUUAAGUCAGUUGUGAAAGUUUAAGGCUCAACCUUGAAAUUGCAGUUGAUACUGGACGUCUUGAGUGCAC
rnacentral:rRNA from 1 species